GAUGAACGCUGGCGGCGUGCCUAAUACAUGCCAGUCGAGCGAACAGAUAAGGAGCUUGCUCCUUUGAAGUUAGCGGCGGACGGGUGAGUAACACGUGGGUAACCUACCUAUAAGACUGGGAUAACUUCGGGAAACCGGUGCUAAUACCGGAUAACAUUUAGAACCGCAUGGUUCUAAAGUGAAAGAUGGUUUUGCUAUCACUUAUAGAUGGACCCGCGCCGUAUUAGCUAGUUGGUAAGGUAACGGCUUACCAAGGCGACGAUACGUAGCCGACCUGAGAGGGUGAUCGGCCACACUGGAACUGAGACACGGUCCAGACUCCUACGGGAGGCAGCAGUAGGGAAUCUUCCGCAAUGGGCGAAAGCCUGACGGAGCAACGCCGCGUGAGUGAUGAAGGGUUUCGGCUCGUAAAACUCUGUUAUUAGGGAAGAACAAAUGUGUAAGUAACUGUGCACAUCUUGACGGUACCUAAUCAGAAAGCCACGGCUAACUACGU
rnacentral:rRNA from 1 species